ACGGGGGGAGCAAACGUUGUUCGGAAUCACUGGGUUUAAAGGGUGCGUAGGCGGCCCUGUAAGUCAGUGGUGAAAGCCUCCAGCUCAACUGGAGAACUGCCAUUGAUACUGCAGGGCUUGAGUACAGACGAGGUUGGCGGAAUUGAUGGUGUAGCGGUGAAAUGCAUAGAUACCAUCAAGAACUCCGAUUGCGUAGGCAGCUAACUAGGCUGUAACUGACGCUGAGGCACGAAAGCGUGGGGAGCGAACAGGA
rnacentral:rRNA from 1 species